GACGUAGGGCGCGAGCGUUGUCCGGAUUUAUUGGGCGUAAAGAGCUCGUAGGCGGCUUGUCGCGUCGAAUGUGAAAUCUCAGGGCUCAACUCUGACAUUGCAUUCGAUACGGGCAGGCUAGAGUUCGGUAGGGGAGACUGGAAUUCCUGGUGUAGCGGUGAAAUGCGCAGAUAUCAGGAGGAACACCGAUGGCGAAGGCAGGUCUCUGGACAGAUACUGACGCUGAGGCGCGAAAGCGUGGGAAGCAGACAGG
rnacentral:rRNA from 1 species